rnacentral:tRNA from 1 species
GGGCCGGUGGCGGAACUGGUAUACGCGCACGUUUGAGGGGCGUGUGCCGCAAGGCUUGAGGGUUCGAGUCCCUCUCGGCCCACCA